CACCCUUUCAGUUAUUCGCUUUUACUAGUGUUAGAGUUGUGUCCCUUAGCCGGAUGUGACGUCAACGGGGGAUAGAAAUUCGCCAGAGAAAAUAAAAUUUUACUGUGUCGCUGAAGAAAUCAACGUCUUUAGCACAAUAUAUGCGAAUCAUCCCAAAUGCUAUGUUCAGAAACAGUGAAGUACCAUGGCUGAACCAGAUCCUGUAACAGAAAAGAAAGUACAACAGUACACGACUGUGAUUGUCAUAAGCUGUAUGCCAAGGAUGUCCCUGGCGCUGUUUUACCGCAACUUCAACCGAU